rnacentral:rRNA from 1 species
GAUGAACGCUAGCGGCAGGCCUAACACAUGCAAGUCGAGGGAGGGGCCUUCAGGCUUCGACCUGCGUACGGGUGCGUAAAGCGUAUACAAUCUGCCUUUCACAUAGGGAUAGCGAGAAGAAAAAUGGCUUAAUACCUAAUGGUAUAUAGAUGUAGCAUCACAUUUAUAUUAUAGCUGAGGCGGUGAAAGUUCAGUAUGCAUUCUAUUAGCUAGUUGGAGAGGUAACGGCUCCCCAAGGCGACGUUAGAUAGGGGUUCUGCGAGGGAUAUCCACCCCACUGGUACUGAGAUACGGACCAGACUCGUACGGGAGGCAGCAGUGAGGAACAUUAGGCGAGGGUGGGUAGACGGAUCCAGCCAUGCCGCGUGCAAGAAGACGGCCUUAGGGGUUGUAAACUGCUUGUGCAGAGGAAGAAUAAGGACUACUCGUAGUUUGAUGACGGUACUUUGCGAAUAAGCAACGGCUAACUCCGUG